CCUACGGGUGGCAGCAGUGAGGAAUAUUGGGCAAUGGACGAGAGUCUGAACCAGCAAAGUAGCGUGAAGGAUGACUGCCCUAGGGGUUGUAAACUUCUUUUAUAUGGGAAUAAAAUGUUCCACGUAAGGGUUUUUGUAUGUACCAUAUGAAUAAGGAUAGGCUAACUCCGUGCCAGCAGCCGCGGUAAUACGGAGGAUCCGAGCGUUAUCCGGAUUUAUUGGGUUUAAAGGGAGCGUAGGUGGAUUGUUAAGUCAGUUGUGAAAGUUUGCGGCUCAACCGUAAAAUUGCAGUUGAAACUGGCAGUCUUGAGUACAGAAGAGGUGGGCGGAAUUCGUGGUGUAGCGGUGAAAUGCUCAGAGACAACGAAGAACUCCGAUUGCGAAGGCAGCUCACUGGACUGUAACUGACACUGAGGCUCGAAAGUGUGGGUAUCAAACAGGAUUAGAUACCCUUGUAGUC
rnacentral:rRNA from 1 species